CCUACGGGUGGCAGCAGUGGGGAAUAUUGCGCAAUGGGCGAAAGCCUGACGCAGCGACGCCGCGUGAGGGAUGAAGGUCUUCGGAUCGUAAACCUCUGUCAGCAGGGAAGAACGGUCACUGUGCUAAUCAGCAGUGAAUUGACGGUACCUGCAAAGGAAGCACCGGCUAACUCCGUGCCAGCAGCCGCGGUAAUACGGAGGGUGUGAGCGUUAAUCGGAAUUACUGGGCGUAAAGCGCUCGUAGGCGGUAUGUCAAGUCAAGGGUGAAAUCCCCGCGCUCAACGUGGGAACUGCCUUUGAAACUGGCAAACUGGAGUGUGUGAGAGGAUAGUGGAAUUCCAGGUGUAGGAGUGAAAUGCGUAGAUAUCUGGAGGAACAUCAGUGGCGAAGGCGACUAUCUGGCACAUAACUGACGCUGAGGAGCGAAAGCGUGGGUAGCAAACAGGAUUAGAUACCCGGGUAGUC
rnacentral:rRNA from 1 species